UAGCCCCUUUUCUCUCAUAAAUACAUCAGUCCAUAUAUAAAUUCAGAAAUCUCUCACAAAAUAAAAAUACUUUUCACAAAUACAUCAAAUUAUAAAACACGGAAGUUUUGAUGUAAAAUAGGACUAUACUACCCUUCCUUAACUACCACACUCUUCUUCUUCAAGCUUACAACUACCUCGCCAUUAGAGAAGAAGAACAGCUCCAAAUUUCUGCCAUAAUCAACAGUUUCUGACGUUGAAGUCGCUCUCCAUGAAAGUAUUGGGAGAAUUACCUUCUUCCUAAUUUUUUCGUAAGCAAGCGAUAUAAUUCCGCAACUUCUGGUGCACGCCUCACUUGGCCCUGUUGCCGCCUUUGAUGGUAUAGGCGGAGGCAGCAGGGCUGAUUGUUUGAAACGAGACAGAGAUGACUGUUUGGAGGCGGUUUUGGUGAAAUCUGGUUGUGUUAUGGUGUCAUUGGAGGUGUGCAGCUUCUUCCAGAGCAUGGAUUUUCUCUCGGUAUCAUAUGCUUUCAGACAAGUUAUUUGUGCUUUUAGAUUCUCUAAUAAAUCAUUUGUCAUCAAACAAGACUCAGCCUCUUUUUAAUUACACUUUUAAUUAAUAUUUAUUGUGUUUAAAAAAAUUGGAUAACGUGCUUUUUCUAACA